GCAGCUGAGCUUCGGAGACCUUGCAGCCCUUCUGGGGAGGCAGCGCGACUAUAAAUAAGGCUGGCCAUUUGCAAGUUGACCGUGAGGUCAGCGACAUAAUCGAACUGACGGGGACUUCCUAAAGCCUGCAGCACCACCCGGACGGGGAAACUCGUCUGGUAUGGUAAGAGCCUGUAGGAUGCACAAUGGAUAAUCCGCAGCCGAGCCCCUACUGCAGAAGCUAUGGGGAAGGUUCACAGACUAGGUGAUUAUGGGUCCGGCCGCCUGCUGGAUUUAAGAUAUAGUCGGUCCCUGAGGGAAAUCUUAGGGGUUUCAGCGUCCGUAGGUGAACCUGCGGAAGGAUCAUUAAUGUAACCGGACCGGUCCUUUGCCGUAAAAAGCAACGGAUUGGAAAGGGAGAUAUCAUACACCCUGUGUUUAUUUACCUUUGUUGCUUUGGCGGGCCGUCCUUUUAGGCGUCGGCCCCGGCUGAUCGCGCCCGCCAGAGGACCUAAACUCUUUUAUCAGUGAUGUCUGAGUACUAUAUAAUAGUUAAAACUUUCAACAACGGAUCUCUUGGUUCUGGCAUCGAUGAAGAACGCAGCGAAAUGCGAUAAGUAAUGUGAAUUGCAGAAUUCAGUGAAUCAUCGAAUCUUUGAACGCACAUUGCGCCCGCUGGUAUUCCGGCAGGCAUGCCUGUUCGAGCGUCAUUAUAACCAAUCAAGCUCUGCUUGGCCUUGGGGCCCGCUGUACCGGCGGCUCUUAAAACCAGUGGCGGUGCCGUCUGGCUCUAAGCGUAGUAAUACUUCUCGCUACAGGGUCCAGCCGUUCACCGGUCAGAACUCCCCAAUUUUCUUAGGUUGACCUCGGAUCAGGUAGGGAUACCCGCU
rnacentral:sRNA from 1 species